rnacentral:lncRNA from 1 species
GCCGCCUCUAACCCCCCUUCCCAUUCUCUCCAACUCUCUCAAAGUUUCUCAAACCUUAGCCUCCUCCCACCACUUCCACCCUAAAAUUACUGGAAUCCAUGGCUUCCUAUGCCAUCAGUGUUUUACACCAACCUCCUAUGACUCCCACAUGCCUGAUUUCUAAGGAUUCAAACCACGAAGAAUCUUGGUCCAGGCUUCGUUUGAUUCAUGAUCUAUGGCCACCUACGACCUGCUCCGGCAAACCAUGGUUGUUCGAGCGUGAACUCGACCUCUCCUGCUUAUAUCAGUGACUUUUCCAAGCCUUUCUCACUACUGGGGUUCUUCUGAAACCCUAACCUUUUGAGGUUUUUCUGAUCCAUUGUAUAUCUAUGUUUUCCCUAAGCUUUUAAAAGUUUUUUCUAGCUUUUCUUCCAAAAAACUUACUUUUAAAAUCGUUUCUUUUCCGAUCUAGGGUUCUCUAAAAAGUAUUUAAAUGUUUUUCUAACUUUCUUUUUCUUCUAUUUUUAUGUGUAUCUGCCUCUACUGUAUUCUUGUUUUUUCUUCUACGGUGUUCUUAUAUGCUUCUUCUACAAUGUUCUUUGUAUGUUUCUUCUACGGUAUUCUUGUAUGCUUCUUCUACUGUAUUUUCCUAUACUGUGUUCUCGUGUGCUUUAUCUACUGUAUUUUUCUCUACUUUGUUCUUGUGUUUUUCUCCUACUGUAUUUUCCAUUAGUAUGUCCUUAAGUGUUCUUAUUAAGUUCCACCUACUGAGCUCUGUUUAAGUUUCUUCUAGAACUUCUUAGCAUGCUUCUUUUAUGGUUCUUAUCAAUUUUUCCCAUUAUGUUUCGUAUUAGCUUCUUCUACUCUAAUUUCUUUGAGCUCUUCUACUGUGUUUUGCAUGUCACUUUUCUAUCAUGUUUUCUUAUGAGUUUUUGUUGUUAAAAGCGACAUGUUAGAGGUUUCAGCCUUUUUUUGAGGCCUCUGAACUUGUUUCUAUUUAAUUACUUUCCCUCUCAACUCCGCACUCGAUUAAAGGUGGAAACCCUAGAAUUUGGGGUUCUUCCAAGUUUGGUUAUGUGGUUUUCUUGAAC